UACAGAGGUCUCAAGCGUUGUUCGGAUUCAUUGGGCGUAAAGGGUGCGUAGGCGGCCACCGCAAGUCAAUUGUGAAAUCUCCGGGCUUAACUCGGAAAGGUCAACUGAUACUGCGGGGCUAGAGUGCGGAAGGGGCAACUGGAAUUCUCGGUGUAGCGGUGAAAUGCGUAGAUAUCGAGAGGAACACCUGAGGCGAAGGCGGGUUGCUAGGCUGACACUGACGCUGACAGCGCGAAAGCCAGGGGAGCAAACGGG
rnacentral:rRNA from 1 species